rnacentral:rRNA from 1 species
GAUGAACGCUGGUGGCGUGCCUAAUACAUGCAAGUCGAGCGAACGGACGAGAAGCUUGCUUCUCUGAUGUUAGCGGCGGACGGGUGAGUAACACGUGGAUAACCUACCUAUAAGACUGGGAUAACUUCGGGAAACCGGAGCUAAUACCGGAUAAUAUUUUGAACCGCAUGGUUCAAAAGUGAAAGACGGUCUUGCUGUCACUUAUAGAUGGAUCUGCGCUGCAUUAGCUAGUUGGUAAGGUAACGGCUUACCAAGGCAACGAUGCAUAGCCGACCUGAGAGGGGGAUCGGCCACACUGGAACUGAGACACGGUCCAGACUCCUACGGGAGGCAGCAGUAGGGAAGCUUCCGCAAUGGGCGAAAGCCUGACGGAGCAACGCCGCGUGAGUGAUGAAGGGCUGCGGAUCGUAAAACUCUGUUAUUAGGGAAGAACAUAUGUGUAAGUAACUGUGCACAUCUUGACGGUACCUAAUCAGAAAGCCACGGCUAACUACGU